CAGACCCUGUGCUCAAAGAGGCGGAGGCCCACAGCUGUGGAGGAUGGUGGGAGCUCCAUGUUUAUUAGGAGUGGAUUGAGCAGCUGGAGCUGUAGCAGCUGUCUCAGGAUUAUGUGCAGCAGGCCUUGAGCAGCAGAGGCAAUCAAAUCAGACCCAGGUCUCGGACGGGAGUCGCUGAGCUGCCAACCACCAAAUUUCAUUUAAAAUAAACAACAAAUGUCCUUAUGGAUUACAUUAUGGGUCACCAAACAACAACCUGCAGGUCAGAUCCAGCACACCAUCUGUUUUUGGAAGGCUCGGCAGUCAUAUAGCUGGAGGUUGGGUCUUUGGAUGUUUGACCUCUGAAGAUCCCUUCCAGAUCUACAUGUAAUUAUUCUUGUGAUUAUAGUUAAACCUCUAUCAUGCCAAUCAAAUGCUAAACCUUUCACAGA